rnacentral:sRNA from 1 species
UUCUUCCUUUCGCUCCUGAUAUCCGCCAUCCAUGCCGCUACGUUAUCAAUAGCCUGUUUAGGAGGUCACCUGUCUGGCGAUUGUCAUUUAGUUCCCUUUCACCCGCCGUCGUUUGCGCAUAUCUCGCGCCCUUGCGCGUUCUCCAGGACGUCCAGUUUAUCUAUGUGUCACGCCAGCUUCUGACGCAAACCGUUGGGUAGAAUAAUAUCAGGCCACCAUUAUAGCGUGAUGGAACUAUGCCUUGUUUGAUUUUCUGCCGUACAUGCGUUUUUGUUCCUCUUUGGAAAGGUCGAUAAAUUUACAACAAACAAGAUAUUUCAUCUAUUCACACUGAUUCUCAAGUUUCCCUUGCUUCCCCACUUCCCCCUCUAGACUUCUGAUAUUUUGUGUAGCUCUCGCACGUUGUUCGGGAUGGAGGGGGGUAAUGCUUCUCCUAUUUCUAUAAGAGCAGGGCUAUACCAGACAUGGCACUCACUAUAUCUUUGUCUGGUGGUGGAAAGUCGCUGCUCGAAGCAUCAGACUUUAGGAAGAGACCUGUAAAAAGGCUUACUGAUGUUCUUAUUUAAUUUCCCCCCAUCUUGUCCAGCCCGUGCUCCUAAGAUGUCACGCGGGAAAUAUGGUCCAGCAUGGCGCUUCCGACUGCAAUGUACUGUACAUAUUUUCCCUUGCUUCAGAGACCCUUCAUUUUCACUCUUGUUGUUUUAUCUUCUUCACUCUUCCUAGAUAUUGGUAGACUAUAAACUGAAAUAGUUUUGACAUGUGAUCUCCCCCCACCUUGAAUAGCGGGUGAGAAUUGGCCGACCUUGGAAGAGGAGGUGUACGUAAAUACAGACAAAGCCAG